UGGGGAAUAUUGGACAAUGGGCGCAAGCCUGAUCCAGCCAUGCCGCGUGAGUGAUGAAGGCCCUAGGGUUGUAAAGCUCUUUCACCGGUGAAGAUAAUGACGGUAACCGGAGAAGAAGCCCCGGCUAACUUCGUGCCAGCAGCCGCGGUAAUACGAAGGGGGCUAGCGUUGUUCGGAUUUACUGGGCGUAAAGCGCACGUAGGCGGACUUUUAAGUCAGGGGUGAAAUCCCGGGGCUCAACCCCGGAACUGCCUUUGAUACUGGAAGUCUUGAGUAUGGUAGAGGUGAGUGGAAUUCCUAGUGUAGCGGUGAAAUGCGUAGAUAUUAGGAGGAAUACCGGUGGCGAAGGCGACUUUCUGGACUUUUACUGACGCUCAGGUACGAAAGCGUGGGGAGCAAACAGG
rnacentral:rRNA from 1 species